UCCCGCUUGAAAUUAAGCAUAUUAAUAAGCGGAGGAAAAGAAACUAACAAGGAUUCCCUGAGUAACGGCGAGCGAAAAGGGAAAAGCCCAGCGCCGAAUCUCUUGUCCCCCGGGCAAGAAGACAUGUGGCGUUUGGGACGAGGCUUUGCCUGUGCAGAAUGGUCGCCUAAGUCCCUCUUGAACGGGGCCAUAGCCCAUGGAGGGUGCUAGGCCCGUAUGGCGACUUUAUUGUGCAGUGCGUCUCGUCCGUAGAGUCGGGUUGCUUGGGAGUGCAGCCCAAAUCAGGUGGUAAACUCCAUCUAAGGCUAAAUAUGACCACGAGACCGAUAGCGAACAAGUACCGUGAGGGAAAGUUGAAAAGAACUUUGAAGAGAGAGUUAAAAAGUACGUGAAACCUCUCGGGGGUAAGCGGGCAGAACUUGCAAGUAUUGACUGGGAACAUUCAGGCUUAGCGUGGGUGGCUUGUAGUGCACGUUUUGUUGCUCUUUCGGGAGUUGCUGCCGUGUGCUGUUUGGUCUGCUUACGAUGCGCCGCAUUUGUUCCUGUCAUCGGGUUGCAUGCGACUUAAUUUGGCAGUUUAGGUGCUGGGGUACUGCAAAUCCUUGUGGUUUGAGUCCUGGUUUACCAACUGCUGUUGUGGUCGUUUUAAUAACGAGUAGGCGUUUAUCGCGGUCAAUGGGUUGCGCGAGUUGGGUGCUUAUGAUAUGUGGACGGGUAACCGUAGCAUGUUGUCUGUACCUGCUGUCAGCGUGGCUCCUUUGGCACUGCUCAGAUUGCAAUCUAAAGCAUGCGUGGUCUGCCUGUCCCGUCUUGAAAACACGGAA
rnacentral:rRNA from 1 species